UUUUUAUGUUGAGACAUAUUAGUAUGCAUCGGAUAUAUAUAUUACCUUAUGAUAGUGUAGAUGUACAUUACCAUAACAUCAUGCUUAUUGGAGACAUAGUAGCAUAGCAUUUCAUUCAUGCUUCCUUCAGCAGUUUCGUGUUCGCUAUUUAUUGCUAUUGUUAUUGUACUUACCCUCUUCUUUUGGGGCCUAGUGGUGCAUUGAGCUGAGGUCAGUAAUUGCCCACUGGGAACUAUAAAUUAUAGUUCUCAUGCCCUCUUUUUCUCGAUGUUUUACAGAGCCUUCCACUCAGGGUGAGGCCAGGGAUCGCGAGAAGGGAGUUGCUUCGAGCUAGCUUCCUUCGAGGACGAGUUGUUAGGUGGUCUACCUCUCGAUUUUUGUUUCCUUUUGUGAGAGGUUGAGAGUUCUACCAGUGUAUUAGAGACCACCGUUUUUGUACUUUGGAGACAGAUAUUGUACUACUUAUGAUUUCUUUUACUGUCUAGCUUUACUCCUUUACCUUGAUGUAGAUGUUAGAACCUUACUCGCUCUGAUAUCAUUAGCUGCUCAUUAUUUCACUUCUUCUAUUUGUUCUAUUACUUGCUUUUACUUCCGCUUUUAUUGUAGACGCCUUAUAUGUGUAGACAUAUGGCGGGUCUGGGCACGCUACCGGGAGGGCCUCCGCCGGUCCCGGGGCGUGACACCCGGGCACCGCCCGUUGCCUGCUUCUUGCCUUUGUCCCUUGACUCGGCUGCAGACUUGCGCUCCUUGCGUACGUGGGCAUCGUCGUGUUCCGCCCACAAGGCUCUAUCAAAGACCUCAGCAAAGGUCGUGAGCUUGAGAAUCUGCACGGCCCUAUAAAUUCCCGGCCGAAGUCCUCGCAAGAACCAAUCGGCCCGGUCCUGGUCAUCCCGAACAACAUUCGGGACACAGUCGAUGAUGUGGGAGAACUCCUGCUCGCAGUCUGCUACCGAGCGAUCUCCCUGCCUCAACUUGCGAAAUUUUUUUUACAACUUCCGCUUCACAGUAUCGGGGAAGUAGUUGGCGAACACCGCCCUCUUGAACUCCUUCCACAUCAUAGGUGGAAGAUCGGGAGAUCGAUCCCGCCUAACUCGCUUCCACCACACCUUCGCCGCCUUCUCAAGUCAAUGUGUGGCGAGGUACACAUUGUCUUUCUCCAAGGUAUACAAGUCCUCGAAGAGCGUCUCCAUAGAGUCAAUCCAUGACUCCACAACUGCCGUUUCCACCACGCCCCCUUCGAAGAUAGGUGGGUUGACUUAUUGCACUGUACGAGAGCCGCUAACGCACGCUCCCGUUCCGCCUCCACCGCUGCACUAUCAGGGUUUGAGGUCCCCGAUCCGGCCGGUAUCGCCAUAACUGGAAUGGCCGCCGCGGCCACCCUCGCCGCUAAUCCCUCGGCCACCAUCGGCACCACUGCAGGGGGCGUAGGAUGCUCGGCCUCCACUUGUGCCGCCGCCGUCUGCUGCCGCUCUAAGGCCUCCUGGAGCCUUUGGAUUUGCUCCCCUUGGCGUUGAACGGACUCCGCUUGUUGCCGCACUACGCCAAUAAACGCGGCCAUCUGCUCCCGAAGCUCCCCGUCGCCACCCGCUCCAGGUUGCAUGGGAGCCGCACUCGGUUCCUCGAGCAUAGACCUCGUUCGCGGUCAACCACGAGGCAUUUUAGGUCGUCCACGAGGUGGCAUUGCUUCCUAAAAUGAAGCAAUUCACAUUAGUUACUCAAUAUUACACUCGAACAUACCCAAUUCGGCGAAAGCAACAAGUAUAUUUAUUUUCCUUCCAAAGCAUCAUGUCGUCGGCCGCCGAUCACAACACAAGGAAAAGAAAACAAAUAUCGACUUAAAUUUAGUCCCUAACCACAUUAGAGGUAUAUUAACAUUAACCCAAUCAUAAGCUUUCGCUAUAUUUUGAUUCCACGUCACUCACGUCUCCUAGAUCCUUAUCGUUUCUAUUCCUAAGGGUCCUAGGUCCAUCCUAUACUUUCAGUUUUAGGCUCUUUACGCUCUGAUACCAUUAUAUCUGACAAGCCCCAAGCCCGGUCCUAUUUGGCUUGUUCGAGCACGUCGAACAGACGCCGAACGGACAGCACCUCCUGUAACACACUGGACCUUUGCAAAUUGCGAGGUUCGAGUGAUUCGAUGUGUUUCGAGCUUUCCCACACUUGGUGGAGGGUCGUAGAAUAUUUUCCGAAUCCAAAAAGUUUGAAAACCUGAGUUCUGGACGAGUCCUGAGAGUUUUCACUCUCGGGGACCGAUCCCUGAGAGGAGAGACCGGUCCCCUGGUGAGCAGUGUUGCGCAGCCGGCGAGGCAACCGGUCCCUGGAGGGCGAGACCGGUCCCCGAGCGCGUCUACGCAGUGAGAGACCGGUCCCACGCAGGGAGAGACCGGUUCCCGAACGUUGGUUUUUCGGGUUCGCAGCGAGAGACCGGUUCCUUGCAGGGAGAGACCGGUCCCUCUGGGCGAAAAUUGCCCAGACCGGCUGAUGCAAUUUUAGAUUUUUGAGGGACCUAGCUUGAUUUUGUUGCAAUAGAUGGUCUAUAUGACCCAUCCAAUCUCUCUUCUCCUCAUUUCUCUUCCCUCAACUCUCUUUAUACCCUUGAUAGAGAAGAAGAAGAAGAAGAAGAAGAAGGAGGAGGAGAAGAAGGAAAAAAGAAGAAGAAGAUUGAGAGCAACUAGUGGACUUGGAGCAUCUUCCUCACCCUCUCUUCCUUCUUGGUGCUUGGAGCUUGGACUUGGAGCUUGCAAGAGAGGAGAUCUUCACCCUUGGAGCUUGGAAUGGAGUUCUCUUGAGGUUGGUUGUUUGUUUCUUCCCUCUAGACCUAGCUUUGGUAGAUUUUGGGGGAUGAAACCCUAGAAUGAAAAAUCUAGGGUUUAUUUAGGGCUUUUUGCUUGGAGGCUUUUUGAGCUAAUCUAAUGAGAUUAGAACCUUCGUUUAGGUUGGUUGGAAGGAUUCUAGCUCUCUUUAGGAGCUUGAGGGAGAUUCUCUACACAUUAGGUGAGUUUUAGCCCUUUUGCCUUGUUGGUUAAUGUUUGAUCUUAUAGUUGAUCGUAACGCCCGUGUAUCUCUUCGCUCAAUACUUUUAGGGUGUUUGGAGACUCGUGGACAAUUUUGUUCGGCGAAACAAGGCCCUACGCGACGGUUCGGUGGGUUUGACCUAGCCACACAAUGAGAAAAUCUCAUUUGUGAUGUUUUGAGUAUCGUUAAAUGAAAAAGCAUGCAUAAUCAUGUUAGAUAUAUUUAUUAUGAAUUUUAGAAUGUUUAACAUGCAUACAUUAUGUAUAGUAAAUUUUUGGACCUCUAUGUGAUAGGUGCAUGCAUGUGGGAUAUAGCAUUCUAGUGAAAAUUUGGAACCAUGAUUUCUAUUAUGAAAAUGAACAUUGCUUUUAUGCAUUUAACCUUUAUGCCUAAUUGUGACAUUAGGGACUUUGGAAGGUUAGAGAGGCUUGGGGACUUAGACUAUUUGGGAUUUUGGGUCAAUGUCAUAAAGAGGCAUUGGGCCCCGGGGUAUAGUGAACAUUAGUAUUAAUGCCCUAAUUGGAACAUAGAACAUGAAUUGAACUUGAUUAGUGGUGAUGCUUAAGUGUCAUAAAGAGGCACUAAGCAAGUGAGUGUUGAGUUAUCACAUUGUGACAUAGACCUAGACCGUUGGGUUACUAGUAGCUUUUGCCAUGUUAGAGACAUGAGGAUUGGAUACUUGAGCUUUGACUACGCUUGUUUGCCAUUUGUGCUCAUGCGGUAUUGAGAAGCCUACAGGGUCGAGUGGAACAGACACAUUCCAAGAGUAGGGAUGUUGGGCUACCACAGGCACUUAGGCGGCACAAGCUCAACUACCUUUGGUAGGUCCUUAAUUGGAAACGGAAAUCGACACAGUGUUGAGAAUGAAUAAUCACUACUGGAUAGGCUUAGUAGUUGGAUUACUUGACAUGCUCAUGACAUAGCAUUGGGAUAUAUAGUAUACUUGCCUAUUUCAUUCAUUGCAUCAUAGUAUACUGGGUUGCUUGAUAGAGCUCAUUCUUUAUGUAUGACAUCUUGGACCGUAGCACUUACUUGUUGCCAUUGGACAUACUUGCUUAUGAUAGAGUAGAUGUACAUCAUACUUACAUCAUGUUUACUUGAGAUAUAGUAGCUUAGCAUUCCAUUAUGCUUUCUUAUUGCAGUUAUCUUUAUUAUUAUUGCUUAUGGUACUUACUCUUUUCUUUCGGGGUCUAGUGGUGCAUAGAGCUGAGGUCAGUAAUUGCCCACUGGGAACUAUAAAUUAUAGUUCUCACGCCCUCGUUUUCUUGAUGUUUUCAGAGCCUUCCACGCCGGGAGAGGCUAGGGACCGCGGGAAGGGAGUUGCUUCGAGCUAGCUUCCUUCGAGGACGAUUCGAUAGGUGGUCUACCUCUCGUU
rnacentral:lncRNA from 1 species